rnacentral:rRNA from 1 species
CGGCACGGGUGAGUAACACGUAUCCAACCUGCCGUCUACUCUUGGACAGCCUUCUGAAAGGAAGAUUAAUACAAGAUGGCAUCAUGAGUCCGCAUGUUCACAUGAUUAAAGGUGUUCCGGUAGACGAUGGGGAUGCGUUCCAUUAGAUAGUAGGCGGGGUAACGGCCCACCUAGUCUACGAUGGAUAGGGGUUCUGAGAGGAAGGUCCCCCACAUUGGAACUGAGACACGGUCCAA